GACGAACGCUGGCGGCGUGCUUAACACAUGCAAGUCGAGCGGUAAGGCCCUUCGGGUACGACGAGCGGCGAACGGGUGAGUAACACGUGGGUGACCUGCCUUUAGCUCUGGGAUAAGCCUGGGAAACUGGGUCUAAUACCGGAUAUGACUCCACGGCGCAUGUUGUGGGGUGGAAAGCCUUGUGCGGCUGGAGAUGGGCCCGCGGCCUAUCAGCUUGUUGGUGGGGUGANGGCCGUACCAAGGCGACGACGGGUAGCCGGCCUGAGAGGGCGACCGGCCACACUGGGACUGAGACACGGGCCCAGACUCCUACGGGAGGCAGCAGUGGGGAAUCUUGCGCAAUGGGCGAAAGCCUGACGCAGCGACGCCGC
rnacentral:rRNA from 1 species